GACGGGCCCGCACAAGCAGCGGAGCGUGUGGUUAAUUCGAUGUUACACGAAGAACCUUACCAGGGUUUGACAUGCAAGUGGUAGGAAGCCGAAAGGUGACCGACCCUUCGGGGAGCUUGCACAGGUGCUGCAUGGCUGUCGUCAGCUCGUGUCGUGAGAUGUUCGGUUAAGUCCGCUAACGAGCGCAACCCUCGCUGUGUGUUAUAUGUGUCACACGGGACUGCCGGUCUUAAGCCGGAGGAAGGUGGGGAUGAUGUCAAGUCAGCAUGGCCUUUAUAUCCUGGGCUACACAUACGCUACAAUGGCCAACACAAUAGGUUGCUAAGCCGCGAGGUGGCGCCAAUCCAUAAAGUUGGUCUCAGUUCAGAUUGUAGGCUGCAACCCGCCUGCAUGAAGAUGGAGUUGCUAGUAACCGCAGGUCAGCUAUACUGCGGUGAAUACGUUCCCGGGGCUU
rnacentral:rRNA from 1 species